rnacentral:rRNA from 1 species
UACGUAGGGUCCGAGCGUUGUCCGGAAUUAUUGGGCGUAAAGAGCUCGUAGGCGGUUUGUCGCGUCUGCUGUGAAAUCCCGAGGCUCAACCUCGGGUCUGCAGUGGGUACGGGCAGACUGGAGUGCGGUAGGGGAGAAUGGAAUUCCUGGUGUAGCGGUGAAAUGCGCAGAUAUCAGGAGGAACACCGGUGGCGAAGGCGGGUCUCUGGGCAUUAACUGACGCUGAGGAGCGAAAGCAUGGGGAGCGAACAGG